rnacentral:rRNA from 1 species
GUGGGGAAUCUUGCGCAAUGGGCGAAAGCCUGACGCAGCCAUGCCGCGUGAAUGAUGAAGGUCUUAGGAUUGUAAAAUUCUUUCACCGGGGACGAUAAUGACGGUACCCGGAGAAGAAGCUCCGGCUAACUUCGUGCCAGCAGCCGCGGUAAUACGGAGGGUGCAAGCGUUAUCCGGAAUCACUGGGUUUAAAGGGUACGUAGGCGGUUAAUUAAGUCAGUAGUGAAAGACUGUCGCUCAACGACGGAUGUGCUAUUGAUACUGGUUAACUUGAAUCAGGUUAGAGUUGGCGGAAUGGGUCAUGUAGCGGUGAAAUGCUUAGAUAUGACUUGGAACAACGAUAGCGAAGGCAGCUGACUGAGCCUUGAUUGACGCUGAGGUACGAAAGUGUGGGUAGCGAACAGGAUUAGAUACCCGAGUAGUCC